rnacentral:rRNA from 1 species
CCUACGGGGGGCUGCAGUGGGGAAUAUUGCACAAUGGGCGCAAGCCUGAUGCAGCCAUGCCGCGUGUGUGAAGAAGGCCUUCGGGUUGUAAAGCACUUUCAGCGGGGAGGAAGGCGGUGAGGUUAAUAACCUCAUCGAUUGACGUUACCCGCAGAAGAAGCACCGGCUAACUCCGUGCCAGCAGCCGCGGUAAUACGGAGGGUGCAAGCGUUAAUCGGAAUUACUGGGCGUAAAGCGCACGCAGGCGGUCUGUCAAGUCGGAUGUGAAAUCCCCGGGCUCAACCUGGGAACUGCAUUCGAAACUGGCAGGCUAGAGUCUUGUAGAGGGGGGUAGAAUCCCAGGUGUAGCGGUGAAAUGCGUAGAGAUCUGGAGGAAUACCGGUGGCGAAGGCGGCCCCCUGGACAAAGACUGACGCUCAGGUGCGAAAGCGUGGGGAGCAAACAGGAUUAGAUACCCGUGUAGUC